AUUGAACGCUGGCGGCAGGCCUAACACAUGCAAGUCGAGCGGAUGAAGGGAGCUUGCUCCUGGAUUCAGCGGCGGACGGGUGAGUAAUGCCUAGGAAUCUGCCUGGUAGUGGGGGAUAACGUCCGGAAACGGGCGCUAAUACCGCAUACGUCCUGAGGGAGAAAGUGGGGGAUCUUCGGACCUCACGCUAUCAGAUGAGCCUAGGUCGGAUUAGCUAGUUGGUGGGGUAAAGGCCUACCAAGGCGACGAUCCGUAACUGGUCUGAGAGGAUGAUCAGUCACACUGGAACUGAGACACGGUCCAGACUCCUACGUGAGGCAGCAGUGGGGAAUAUUGGACAAAGGGCGAAAGCCUGAUCCAGCCAUGCCGCGUGUGUGAAGAAGGUCUUCGGAUUGUAAAGCACUUUAAGUUGGGAGGAAGGGCAGUAAGUUAAUACCUUGCUGUUUUGACGUUACCAACAGAAUAAGCACCGGCUAACUUCGUG
rnacentral:rRNA from 1 species